ACUUGUUUUACUACAAAAGAAAAGUUUCAAAGAAAUCUGGAACAAAACUUAGCUUUUCUCAUUAACAAUAUAGUUACGUGUAAAAAAAAAACUCGUAAAUAUUCUUAUAAGUAGUUUAUUUAGUGAUUUUAUUUUUUUUUUUGUAAAAAAAUUAGGAUUUUCUUUAGGGUUUUUUUUGUUUCCAAAUUAAGAACUAUGUUUUAAGACAAUGCGGCUAAGUUAGAAAUGCUAGGGAACGACUUUUAUAUAAUUUAAAGGGUAUUAAAAAAUGCAUUGUGAAAUUAAUGUAGCUAUACUCUACACAUUUGCGCUGAAAAGUACUUUUUUUAUAGACGGUGUAAAAGAAAACUCGGCUAACGGCCCUGGGUUAGAGAGAAUUUUAGCAGAUUUAAACGCAGAAUCAGCUGAAGUACCGUACGCUACUCUACUAGUUGGUGUUUCGUAGGCUGGAACAGGAGCAUUCCUUGUCUACGUGAAAGGUUGUAGUCGGAAUAUGACAAACGUAAUCCUUCGGAAAGAUCCAGAACUGCGUCUGCAAAACGGCCGAAAAUAGCUUGUGGAGCGAAAAAAAACAAAAAAUUUGUCAUGCCUUCAAAAAUGAUCACCUAAAUUAGCACGAUUAAAAACCCAGUAACCAAAGGAAAAAAUGUAAAGACCGCAAACCAAGGCUGAUGUUUGGAAACAACAACACGCAAAAAAUAAGAAAGACACUUUUUGACGAACACCAAGUGCUGAUCGCAAAAACCAACAUGAUGAAACUAAAAAGUUCAAUAUGUCACAAUAAAUUUAAACACUUAUAUAAUUACUUAGUUUUUAAAACCGUACAAAGCAAUAAAAUAAAAAAGAAAUUGCAAAGUUUCUACUCACAAAGCAAAAAAUGGGGCCACAGUGCGCAGAUUCAGUUGAUCGCCACAGAUACAAACUUGGUAUAAAUGUUUCCUAACGACAUAAAUACACAAAAUUUUGAAGGCCAUCUGACGAACAAACAGUUUACAAUAGUUCUGCACACGUUUGAAC